AUGGGAACGCGAAGAACCUUACCUACUCUUGACAUCCAGAGAACUUAGCAGAGAUGCUUUGGUGCCUUCGGGAACUCUGAGACAGGUGCUGCAUGGCUGUCGUCAGCUCGUGUUGUGAAAUGUUGGGUUAAGUCCCGCAACGAGCGCAACCCUUAUCCUUUGUUGCCAGCGGUCCGGCCGGGAACUCAAAGGAGACUGCCAGUGAUAAACUGGAGGAAGGUGGGGAUGACGUCAAGUCAUCAUGGCCCUUACGAGUAGGGCUACACACGUGCUACAAUGGCGCAUACAAAGAGAAGCGACCUCGCGAGAGCAAGCGGACCUCAUAAAGUGCGUCGUAGUCCGGAUUGGAGUCUGCAACUCGACUCCAUGAAGUCGGAAUCGCUAGUAAUCGUAGAUCAGAAUGCUACGG
rnacentral:rRNA from 1 species